ensembl:snoRNA LOC120102035 small nucleolar RNA SNORA48
UACCUCCUAGCAAUGGAGACAUCUUUCUGGUGGUGUUUUUCUUAUAUAAGGGGCAGAGCAGAUGGCAGUUCUUUGUUCAUUCUAGCUUGACGACUGGCUUGGUGGCCAAAGCGGUUUUAUGCCUGGGACAAAUCA